CCUACGGGUGGCUGCAGUGGGGAAUAUUGGACAAUUGGCGCAAGCCUGAUCCAGCCACGCCGCGUGAGUGAUGAAGGCCUUCGGGUCGUAAAGCUCUGUGGGGAGGGACGAACCGCUGUCGGUUAAUACCCGGCAGCAUGACGGUACCUCCUUAGCAAGCACCGGCUAACUUCGUGCCAGCAGCCGCGGUAAUACGACGGGUGCAAACGUUGCUGGGAAUUAUAGGGCGUAAAGCUAGCGUGUGCGACUUGAAAGCCCUCGGCUUAACCAAGGAAGUGCAUCCAAAACUGCUGAGCUUGAGUAGUUAAGAGGAUCGCGGAAUUCCCGGUGUAGAGGUGAAAUUCGUAGAUAUCGGGAGGAACACCAGUGGCGAAGGCGGCGAUCUGGGAACAUACUGACGCUGAGGUGCGAAAGCGUGGGGAGCAAACAGGAUUAGAUACCCGUGUAGUC
rnacentral:rRNA from 1 species